rnacentral:rRNA from 1 species
CUAUUGGGCUUCGCAAGACUCUAUGCUCUCUGAGCCGGCCGAAUCUGGAUAGCUAGUUGGUAGGGUAAGCUACCAGCAUCGAUCAGUAGCUGUCUGAGAGGACGACAGCACCUGACUGAGACACGGUCAGACUCUACGGAGCAGCAGUGGGAUUUGGACAUGGCGCAGGCUGAUCCAGCAAUGCGCGUGAGUGAGAAGGCUUCGGGUGUAAAGCUCUUUGUCAGGGAGAAACGGUGGGGGCUAUAUCCCUUGCUAAUGACGGUACCUGAAGAAUAAGCACCGGCUAACUACGUGCCAGCAGCCGCGGUAAUACGUAGGGUGCAAGCGUUAAUCGGAAUUACUGGGCGUAAAGCGUGUGCAGGCGGUUUUGUAAGUUUGUCGUGAAAUCCCCGGGCUCAACCUGGGAAUGGCGAUGAAGACUGCAAGGCUAGAAUCUGGUAGAGGGGGGUAGAAUUCCACGUGUAGCAGUGAAAUGCGUAGAGAUGUGGAGGAACACCGAUGGCGAAGGCAGCCCCCUGGGUCAAGAUUGACGCUCAUGCACGAAAGCGUGGGGAGCAAACAGGAUUAGAUACCCUGGUAGUCCACGCCCUAAACGAUGUCUACUAGUUGUCGGGUUUUAAUUAACUUGGUAGCGCAGCUAACGCGUGAAGUAGACCGCCUGGGGAGUACGGUCGCAAGAUUAAAACUCAAAGGAAUUGACGGGGACCCGCACAAGCGGUGGAUGAUGUGGAUUAAUUCGAUGCAACGCGAAAAACCUUACCUACCCUUGACAUGGCAGGAAUCCUUGAGAGAUCAGGGAGUGCUCGAAAGAGAACCUGCACACAGGUGCUGCAUGGCUGUCGUCAGCUCGUGUCGUGAGAUGUUGGGUUAAGUCCCGCAACGAGCGCAACCCUUGUCAUUAGUUGCUACGAAAGAGCACUCUAAUGAGACUGCCGGUGACAAACCGGAGGAAGGUGGGGAUGACGUCAAGUCCUCAUGGCCCUUAUGGGUAGGGCUUCACACGUCAUACAAUGGUACAUGCAGAGGGCCGCCAACCCGCGAGGGGGAGCUAAUCCCAGAAAGUGUAUCGUAGUCCGGAUUGUAGUCUGCAACUCGACUACAUGAAGUUGGAAUCGCUAGUAAUCGCGGAUCAGCAUUCGCGGUAUGGCAA